UGAAGAAAAGUUCUGGAAUUGGAUAGUAGUGAUGACUGUACUACAAGGUGAAGGUGCUUAAUAUCCCUGACUGUACACUUAAAAAUUGUUAAAAUGCACAGGGAGAUCUCCAGGCUCUCUUUGGAUUUCCCUCCCUGUGUUGACCCUGGAAACUUUCUCCAAGCAGAGAAGAAAAAGAGCAUGGACGCUCAUUCAUGGGGCAUUUACAUGACUCAGGUCAAGCAAUGGCGUGUGUCACUCCUGCUCAUAGUCUGUCCUGUGAGCACACCUGGACGGUGCAGGAGGCUGGAGCAGGACAUCCAAGUCUGUGUCCAGAAUGAAGAGACCACUGACUUGGUGAGAAGCCAGCCAGUCUAUGCUAAAGGGAAACUGAGGCCAUAAAAAAACAGUAAAUGUACAAAAUAGUUUGAGUUUAAUGAUGACUUCCAUGAAGAAAAUAAACAAUGUCUGUG
rnacentral:lncRNA from 1 species